rnacentral:rRNA from 1 species
AUACGGAGGGUGCGAGCGUUAUCCGGAAUCACUGGGCGUAAAGGGCGCGUAGGCGGUUUGUUAAGUCCGAUGUUAAAGACCGAGGCUCAACCUCGAUACGGCGUUGGAUACUGACAAGCUGGACGGUUGGAGAGGAAGGUAGAAUUACCAGUGUAGCGGUGGAAUGCGUAGAUACUGGUAGGAAUACCCAUUGCGAAGGCAGCCUUCUGGACAACACGUGACGCUGAGGCGCGAAAGUGUGGGGAGCAAACCGGAUUAGAUACCCGGGUAGUCCACACCCUAAACGAUGCAUACUUGGUGUCGGCCCGUUGGGGUCGGUGCCGGAGCUAACGCGUUAAGUAUGCCGCCUGGGAAGUACGGCCGCAAGGUUGAA